CCCUUCUCUUAGGGUGUCCCGGUCCGUUUUAACUGGCAAUUUCACAUUUGAAGACUUUUCUUUCCCAUAGAAGCUAACUGCAUCAAAUUGAACCCACCAAAGUACAACAAAAAAUUCAAAACAUAUCUUAAUAUGCUAUAAUCUGGUCUUAUCACCUACAUCAUAGCACAUAAAAACAAUCAAACGUUGGUUUUUUUUUUUUUUUUUUUUUUUUGUGGUAAGGAAACGAAAUGUAAGGAUGAUUGUAGCCUUCUUCCUUCUUCAGUGGAAGAGACUGUUCAUCAUCCAUUUGCUAUAGGACAAAAAGGAUUUCACAAAUANCAAAUACAAAACUCCCCAUUUGCAUAAUUCCUUUUAUAUCCACCUUUCAGCUAACAAAACAAAUAAAGAGUUUUUCAAAUUAACAACUUCAUUUUUCAAAAUUUAAAGCUUCAAAUCAUCAACUAGCUAAACCGUACGGUACCAUAAUCGUUCAAGAAUUUCUU
rnacentral:misc_RNA from 1 species